GGGUCAGGAGGUUGGUCGUGCCACCGGUACGUACUGGUCUCACUGAUUCCUCCUUCCUGAAGACCCGUAAUGCCAUUAAUUUGGUGUUGCGGGGAAACAGGACUGUUACUUUGAAAAAAUUAGAGUGUUUAAAGCAAGCUAACGCUUGAAUACAUUAGCAUGGAAUAAUGAAAUAGGACGAUCGAUCCUAUUUUGUUGGUUUCUAGGAUUGACGUA
rnacentral:rRNA from 1 species